rnacentral:lncRNA from 1 species
GCGACCGUGUGCGGUUGCUAAUAGUGGUCGCUAACAUAUAGCACACAUCAAACUUUGCCAUGUACCAUGCUGACUAAGCUUAGCGACGAAUUCGAUUGCUACUAUCGGUAACAGAUAAAUCGGUAGCUAAUAGUUGUCGCUGAUGUGCAUACCAGCGACCAAAUUUUAUGCGACGCCUAUCAGCGACCGCAGUCGGUCACGGAUAAGGAACUGUGACCUAAUGCGGUCAUUGAUAUGUGGUCGCAGAUAGGCCUUUUUCUUGUAGUGAAC